GACAGAGGGUGCAAACGUUGUUCGGAAUUACUGGGCGUAAAGCGUGUGUAGGCGGUUCGCUAAGUCGGAUGUGAAAGCCCCGGGCUCAACCCGGGAAGUGCACUCGAAACUGGCGAGCUAGAGUAUCGGAGAGGUUGGUGGAAUUCUCGGUGUAGAGGUGAAAUUCGUAGAUAUCGAGAGGAACACCGGUGGCGAAGGCGGCCAACUGGACGAAUACUGACGCUGAGACACGAAAGCGUGGGGAGCAAACAGG
rnacentral:rRNA from 1 species